rnacentral:tRNA from 1 species
GGACCGGUGGUGUAGUGGUAAUGCAUUGCGUUCGGACGUGAAGUGUAGUGGUUCGAUUCCCUCCUGGUCCA